rnacentral:lncRNA from 1 species
GUAGAGCGGACGGUCAAAUGUGACACGCAUGCAGCCCGGACAGUGAGGCAGUGUACCAGACAUCCUCGUGCGCAAACGCCAGGUCAAAUGUCUUACCUAUUGCGGCUAUGGUGGGAGGCCAAGUAACGGAGCAAGCGAUGUGAGUAACUGAAGCAUUGUUCAGCCAGUACCUGCAGGACAGGGAUUCCAAGUGAAGCUCGGGUGACAAUAAGCGAUGUAGUUAUUGAUAUGGGAAACAUAUGCUACGUAAACUACAGCUCCAAAUACCUCAGGGGCGAGUCAUCCGGAAAGAAGGUCUCCAUCCUCCUCCUCUUUGCAACCGGCGAUUAUAAUUGUGCGAUAGCCAUGGGGGUCAAAACGGGCAUGUCAAGUGCAACAUCAUUACCAGUAUUGUCAACCUGACUCUACCUUGAAACGGGCAAAACGUACUUUGUAUACGGCUUUCCUCAACAAUUGUACCAAUGGCCAUUCCUACCUAGCUAUACUUGAAGUUAUCUGUUGUCAUAUCCCUUUGCAUAAUUUGUCAUGUCAAGUGUAAAGCACCAUCGGGGUUUCCCCGAGCAAACAAGUGCACGGCUGGCAAGCGCGCUUACUGCCUGUGCAGCACAAGCUGGGGUUUACGGCGCAUGUAUAAAGAAGAUCGUGCCGGAGGUCCGCCUGAAACAACGGCACUAGUCUGCCUGCCGGUAGUUGUUCGUUUUCCUGCUUCAAACGUCUUCUUUUUUGUUCAGGUCGAUAUUGGCGUUUGUAAUCGCGAAUUCCAAGACCUAAAAGCCUGUUUCACGCGUGCGGUAAGUGGGAUCUUAUACCGUGUUUGGAGGGUGGUUGGGAAUUAGGGUACUGAGCUUUCCCCGUUCCCGGUAAUCUUCCGCGCCGAUUGUUGGAUGCCCACCGCAGAUGCGUCGAGGAUCAAGUCGAGCCUAGAUUCAUCAAGCGCAAUGCAGCGCCAUGCUCUGGGUUAAUCCAGCAAAACACCCCGCUUUACCACUUGCGUGAGCUACUUGCUUCUUUCCCUGCCACUUCUGUUGGCGAGAUACUAAAUGGACCGCUUCGGAACCAAAAUCACGCCGCCGAAUGGGAAGGAUGAGUCUUGCGUCUCCUUUUCCAUUGCAAGCGCGACUUAACUUGUAUAUCUGGAUCGACAUAUCGUCGCCACAUGCAGUAAAUGGUUCGCCACACUGCUGCUCAAGUAGCGUCUAUGACUGACCCACCAACUGACUGACUGACGGACUGCUGCGACCACACGUCUCUUGUCUUGUCGCUUACUUA